UGAAUCCAGACAGCAGGUUCUUUUCAGGUUGAUGGAACCCUUGAAGCAGAGAGUAGAAUUCCUAAAGGAAAAGGCCAGCGGUUGGGUGAAUGGAUCCACGCUCUCCGUAGUGGCUGAAGCUUCACUCAGUAAAAGAGCCGGCUAGGAGGAAAAUGGUCACCCUGGCAGUUGAGGAUUCUUUGCUUAAGAAUAUAAUCUUUUUUGGAAGAAGAAGGGUUCUGAGAAGCCAGGAGAGGCAAGUAAUAUGAAUUCUAGAAGAAACUUUUUGAAGAAGGAAUAAGUCAACAUAUAAUGAAUAAAGAUUAAUGUGUGAAUGUACUCCGUUGGAAA
rnacentral:lncRNA from 1 species